GCUCUUCAAUACCUCACUUCCAAUUUUUUUAGGUAUAUAUCCAGAAGUGAAAUUGCUAGAUCAUAUGUUAAUUCUAUUUUUAAUUUUUUGAGGAACCGUCUCAAAAAUACUGUUUUCUGUAGCAACUGCAUUUGGAGAACAUCUUCCUGCAAUGCUUUACUGUUCCUUUUGACCACGACUGAGUAGGGUGGUUGUUAUUUCUUAGCUUCCAACCUCACAGGGAAACUCCAGAAGAAAUUUAAACUUCUCCUUGUGCUCUGGAACCUAGCUGGUCAGUGUGAAUGACACGUUUCUGAUCAGAAUGUUUGGCCCCUGGUGAUCUUGCCCCAGCUUCCUGUUGACUGCGAGCCCGUGAGCACAUUCUCUACAGGACGACCCUCGUUAUCAGCAAAUGCUUGUCCUGUCCCAUAAAUCCAGUUCGUCUUAAUAAAUUCCCAGUCGUCCUCCCCCAGAGCCCCUGGCCCCCUUAUCUCACUCCUCUCUGCCAAGCCCUUUGCAAUUUAUGUGUUUGCUUUUCGAUUCUGCUUUCAGCCCCAUUCCAAGUUUCCUCUUUCCCACCAGGUCACAGCGGCCUUUGUGUCUCAUAUAAAUUUAGUCUUCUCUGUCUGGGACUUUUUCUUGUUCACGGGGCCUACAUGGCUUCUCUCCCUGGCACCAGCCUUUCAAUCUCUGGCCUUCCUACCUAAAGCAAUUUGUCAAGAUCAUGUCCUUGCGAUUUGUGGCUUAUGAGUUUUCCUUCUCUGUGUUCCUUUCACACGGUUUUUUUGCUAGUUUGUAGGCAUGUGUUCCAACUUUGUGGCCGUUUGCUGGAGGAGACAGACUGCAUCCCCGCCUGUCCCCACAGCACACAGAGUGUGCACUCACUGAGAGCUAUAGCUCUGUUCUGGAGAAAGCUUGACUGUAGCUUGGCGUAACCAUAAUUCACCUGGACUGGAAGGACCACUUCGUCUUACAGAUGAAGCAGCUCUUAGGUCGGCUAAUGUGAACUCAGACCCACAUCCUCAUUAACCCCCUGUUGUCACCACUGAGAAACCCACCCGGGGAGCAAUAAUGCAUAUUCCCAGCAGUAGCCAAGAAGGCCCCUAAAGAAGAGACCUGCUUCUCCACCCAAUACCUCAGAAGUCUGCAAGGUGUAGAGACUGUGACCCCAGGACUCAAGGGACCGGCCCACUGUCACCAAGUUCUAACUCCAAAUACAGUCCUCUGUCUACCAUCAGUUCCUGGCUCAUUCUGGAAGGACUGUCUGCCCCUCCCCUCUCUGUGACCUUUCCCACACUCAUUUCGGAGUCUGUGUCUAUGUCGUCCAGUCGCCCAGAGACGGACGAGACGGUUUCCCCCACGUCUGGAAGCACUCACUGCUGGCCCCACUCCAGACACUGUCCACUCAACAGACCUUUCAGGCUUCGCCAUCAGUACAGCACUGAGCUGAUGGCAGCGGGAGACACCGCCCCUCCCUCCCCUCAAAAGUAUCCCUCAUGUCUCUUUUCCUAAAGAAAUUUGGUGUCUAGUUUAGAAGAAAAACACAAACACGGGUCAAGUUGCACAAGAAUGCCAGGGAAUGAGUGGCUGAAUACUACACGUUGAACAGACAACCUGAAGCCACGAGUUGGGUAGAAUCAUGAGCCCAUGAAGGCAGAGGAGGCUUCCGGGAGGAGGCAGGAGUUGACACAGUCUUAAAUAAUGAGGAGAUGAGGAGGAAGAGAGAACCGUCUGCCCAGCAAGAACAGGAGAGAAAGAAGACAUUGGAGUGGAAUGGUGGGCCACGGGUUUUGAAGGGACAGGGACCAAGUGACUUUUGGAAUGCAAGAUAAAGGUGAGUAAAGAGAUUCAAGCUUCGAGUCUGGUUUCAGGUCUGCCGGUAGCAGGAACUGGGAAGGUAGAGGAUGAGCAGUGAUUUCUCAGAACUAGAAAGACAGACUCAAAACCAUCUUUCCGUUUACUCAUAUGUAUGAGGUGCUCUGCUAGCUUCUUGGGGGUGAAAGGAAACAUAAGACGCGGCUUUGUCCUCAGAGAAUUCAGAGUAGUAAGGAGCCUGUCAAGAAAUAAAACAGUGAGCUGCAAAUCAAGAGAGCAAUGGACAUAGCGCUAUGGAAACUGCAGAAAGUGAAGGGUCCAAGAAGACCCCACAGAGGAAGGGACAGGUGACCCAACUGUCAAAAAGGUUUUCCAGACUGAUAAGACGGAGACUAGGACGUCAGAGGGAAAACCAUGUGCAAAGGAAUGGAACCACAGAGAAAUCGUGCAAACUUGGGAAACCACAAAUAACUUUUUUAUAGCAACAGUGUACAGCUGUAGUUCCCAAACUGUGUGCUAAGGCACUCGAAGGUGCCACAAUGAAUUCACAGGGGUUCCUGGGAUAUUUUAACUAUUCACGGGGAACACAGCGACAUCUGUUGGUCACGGCGAGAACUACUUUCAAUUUGUGUGUAUUCUUUUUUCAAACGUCUACUCAGUUGUUAGAACGUGAAUACUUACUAAGUUGUUUGGACAUAACUGCUUAAAAAUGACACUGCCGGGUACUUCUUUUGGCCUUAGGGGGCCAUGAAAGAUUCCUGAGUCACUAAGUGCCAUGAAUUGAGAAAGUCUGGGAACCUGGGUGUUAGAAGAGCGGGACGGGGAGAGAGGUCCUGCAGGCUCCCUGUUACAGUCAAGAAGCUUGGGCUUUUUGCUGCAAACAGUGGAAAGCCAUUAGAGGUUGACUGGUAGUGGGACAACGUGGUCAGCUUUUGUUUUAUGAAAGUAGAUUCGGCCUUGAUGGGGGUGUUGGUUUGGAAGCAGAGAGCUCUACUGGGAGCUAGCGCAGUAGUUCUGCUGAGAGAGGUGGGGCCUGGGCCCUUGGUGUCAGAGGUUGGGCCUGGAAUACAGCACGCUCCAUUAACAUUACAGAGCUCCUGCUGUGCGCCCAACACUGUGGCACCUGUUAGACAUCAAAGUUAAAAAAAGACGUGAUCCCUUUUUAAAGCACUCACAAUCAAAUAAAAAGGCAGCCAAGGAAACAAUUAGAAUUAGUGGAGAACUGCCAGGAGUUAACCAGGCAAGAGAAAAAGAAAGGCUGUUCCAGGAAAGCAGGGGGAACAGCAUGUGCAAAGGCCCACGUGAAGAUGGGAGGUGAUGGAGAGUUUCAGUAAAGCAGCUUGAUCAUCAAUACUGGCUCUUGGGUGGUGGGGAAAAGGGAGGGAUGUGUCCGAAAAGCAAGGCAGGGGCUCAGUUAUGAAGGACAUUGUAGGACAUGCUAAAGACUCCCAAAGGCCUUGAUGGAGACAAACCAAUGAGGGGUGUUAAGUGAGGAGUGGUACGAUCAGAUUUACAUUCUACAAAGUCCUGCGUGGAUACACUGAGCCAGGGCCCACAUAUAGACAAGCAGCAGGUCAGGAGGAUAGGCCAGAGUGAGGAAGGCAUAAAUCUGAGUGGAAGGUCCAAAGUCUAGCCAGGGAGUGAAGGAUCAGAGACUCCACCAGUACCUGAGGGCAUGAGAAAGGAGCUGACCAGGCAUGGCAGAGAGGGAAAGGGCUGAUAGAAGUCUCACUCAGGCCACGAGGCUCUGGAAGGGUCUGUGAGUUCAGGGUCAGCCCCCACGCAUGAGUGCCCUGAGGCUCCCCUGUGCAGGUAAUGCACACCCCGAUCUGAGUGACAGAUGGGAGAUGGAAGAAAGUAGCUUUGGACUCCAAGGACUAUGACCAUCACUGGCUCCUCAAGAAAAGUGUCCCUGGCAGCUUGAGCAGGCUCCACCUCCCAGCUAACGCAAGCCUGCCUUGCUCUAAUGACAGAUUGGAUGGCUAACAAGAGAGGGCAGGAUGCUCACCUGAGCCCAGUGGGGACAGACCCCAGGACUGCUGGGGGCAUCUUUCUCUGCAUGCCGCCCAACGAGGGCCAGCUCCUGUGACAGCCAAAUGUCCCCGCAUUCCCAGCACGGGACGCCUGCUUAGCUUCCUCUGAACGUUUUGGAGGCGGCGAGUCUCUGACAAUCACUAUGGGAUCUCCAGCAGUCAGUACCCAAUCUCCCCGACUUCCACGUCCACAGUCCAGGCCAGAGGUCAGACUUCAGGCCAGGAUAGCUGUCACCCUGUUAGCAUCCUCAGCCUGCUGGGACGAGCCCUGUCACCCAGGCAAGGAUUUAUCAGGUGCUCGCUGCUCAGCAGCUGUCAGGGUUGCUGGAGGGCCUCAUCAGUUCUUCAGUCUGGAAACCAGAAGUCUCUGGAAGCACAUUCAGAUUCCUUCUGCUAAAGGCAGUAAAGGGAGUGGCAUGUCACAUGAUCUCCCGGGGGGGCGCUGCUCACCCAGCCUCUUCAUUCCCUACAGAGUGGUGCCAGGAGGGUGCACCCCCCACCCCCGGGUGAGCAGGGGCCUUCACUCCUGAUGGGAGGUUAUUGUGACCAGCAUUUGCCUAAAACCUUACUGUGGACAAAGCAUUCUCAUGUUUCUCAUCUGACCCUCCUAACAGCCUCUUUUAUCAAAGAAAUUGACUCGGGAAAGUUGUGGUUUGCUCAAGGCGACACAGCUGUUAAAUCACAGGGCAGGGCCUUGAACCCAAGUCCCGGCAGCGACACCCCUGCCAACCCCCACCUUGACUCUUGAAAGAUGCGGCGAGGCCAAUCCAAUGACAAACCUUUUUUUUUUUCUCUUAUUACAAAAGCACAUGCACUCAUUGUAACCCACUGGAACAUUAAAGAGAUACGCAAUGUGAAAAAUAAAAGCCCCGCAGAAUUUCCUGCUCCAGAUAAAUGCACUGUUUGCUAAUAUAUCUUCCUCCAGAGUCUUUCCAGGGCUAUCACGAACACGCCUGAGCGUAGUGCCUGACACAGAGUACGUGCUCAAUAAAUGCUUGUUGAAUGAA